rnacentral:misc_RNA from 1 species
GAAAUGCGAUAAGUAAUGUGAAUUGCAGAAUUCAGUGAAUCAUCGAAUCUUUGAACGCAUAUUGCGCCCGCCAGUAUUCUGGCGGGCAUGCCUGUUCGAGCGUCAUUACAACCCUCAGGCCCCCGGGCCUGGCGUUGGGGAUCGGCGGAAGCCCCCUGCGGGCACAACGCCGUCCCCCAAAUACAGUGGCGGUCCCGCCGCAGCUUCCAUUGCGUAGUAGCUAACACCUCGCAACUGGAGAGCGGCGCGGCCACGCCGUAAAACACCCAACUUCUGAAUGUUGACCUCGAAUCAGGUAGGAAUACCCGCUGAACUUAAGC